rnacentral:rRNA from 1 species
GACGAACGCUGGCGGCGUGCUUAACACAUGCAAGUCGAACGGAAAGGCCCUGCUUUUGUGUGGUGCUCGAUUGGCGAACGGGUGAGUAACACGUGAGUAACCUGCCCUUGACUUUGUGAUAACUUCAGGAAACUGGGUCUAAUACCGCAUAGGAGCUCCUGCUGCAUGUUGGGGGUUGGAAAGUUUCGGCGGUUGGGGAUGGACUCGCGGCUUAUCAGCUUGUUGGUGGGGUAGUGGCUUACCAAGGCUUUGACGGGUAGCCGGCCUGAGAGGGUGACCGGCCACAUUGGGACUGAGAUACGGCCCAGACUCCUACGGGAGGCAGCAGUGGGGAAUAUUGCACAAUGGGCGGAAGCCUGAUGCAGCAACGCCGCGUGCGGGAUGACGGCCUUCGGGUUGUAAACCGCUUUCGCCUGUGACGAAGCGUGAGUGACGGUAAUGGGUAAAGAAGCACCGGCUAACUACGUG